rnacentral:rRNA from 1 species
CAGUAGCCGCGGGAAUACAGAGGAUGCAAGCGUUAUCCGGAAUGAUUGGGCGUAAAGCGUCUGUAGGUGGCUUUUCAAGUCCGCCGUCAAAUCCCAGGGCUCAACCCUGGACAGGCGGAGGAAACUACCAAGCUGGAGUACGGUAGGGGCAGAGGGAAUUUCCGGUGGAGCGGUGAAAUGCGUAGAGAUGUGGAGGAACACCAGUGGCGAAGGCGACUCUCUGGUCUGUAACUGACGCUGAGGAGCGAAAGCGUGGGGAGCGAACAGGAUUAGAUACCCCGGUAGUCCCUGUCUCUUAUAC